UGAUUGAGUAACUAUUUAUUAAGUCAAAAUACCAUGUUGAAUAGCUCUGUCGAUGAAAUCAACUACCUUGAAUCCCACACUCCUUUUGUACAGUGGUAACAUGACAGUAGAAGACAAUGACUCCUUGCGAGAAGAUCCUGGUAAUUACACAAAGCAUAGCUAAUACUUCCAGUAAUAAAAAUAGUAUAUUAUUGCAGACCCAGAUGACCUGUCAUACAUCCUUCCAACUUUAACAGUGCACGCCCACAUCUACGAAGUCUAGCAAUUUGGUGUCAUUUUUUUUCUGUGCAAACAUUUUAAAAGUAAAGGCCAUUGAACAUGAAUUUUGUCAAUGACAAAAGGUACAAAAUCAAAAAGUUAUUUGUUAACAGAGAGUGAAAUUAGUAGCAAUAGAGUUAAAUUGUGUCCUGUUUUUAGGCUUAAACAUAUCGACAAACGCAUGACUAUCAUGACUACUAACGGAAUUUACAACUAAUAAAGAUGGUACCAAGUAUGUCGUUGCGGGUCAUUUUACUGCCUGAUGUACUUCGUGUGAUGCAACCACCAAGACAUGUGACCGGUCACCGGCCUUUGUGCAUAUCAUCUCCCCGCUUGCUGUAAUGCUUAGCAUUGCAGUGUCUAACAGAGGGUGAGAUGACAUCUGGGAGGACUCCACUACUGCCGUGUUAUCUAGUUCAUACCGCAAUUCCUUCUCAAUGCAUUAAUCAACAUGGAAGCGAUUGGCUUCAGCAAACCAAGAUAUGCAGUCUGGUCGAAAUUAUAAUCUGGGUAGGUUAAAAAUUUGGAGAGGAGGAUGAUCUGUGAGAGGCUACAUUGUGAUGUGAAAUUGAUUUAGAUGGAUUCAGUCGACCUUUAAAAUUUCAGCAUGGCAUAGUUGUGGAGAUAGGGAGACGUGAUCUAAACAAAUCAAGUACAUAAUCAUGAUAUAAGUACGUUCUAGAAUUAGGCCUAACCUCUCUUUGCUACAGCUGCACCCAACGUCACAACGUUAGACCUCCUUUUCUCCCAAAGGCUCAAUGAAAUUGCUUCUGCGUGAGUUGGUGUUAGAAGAAAGGUUAGAGAUGAAUCAUCUGGAUGGACAUAUACUUAAGCAAUAAAGAGGACAUGGAUCUUAUUUUUCUUAAAGCAUGUAGAUGACACAGGAGAUAUGUCAUGCAUGGCGUGACUUCCAUGUUAUCUUGUACAGCCAUUGAUGCUGCUGGAACACAACAUCGCACAGGAGUAGUGUGUCACCACUCGCCGGUUCUAUCUCUUCCUGCUGUGGGUGAGAUCGUCUUGUAGAGAAGCCUCUUUCAUCUUGUACGUACAGCUGGUGUUGCAAACAAAUCAGAAGAAGUAAUGCAAAUAUAUUUCUGACUAAAACUAUCGAACGCCUGAAUCUAUGGCGGAUUAAAUUGAGUCCUCUUGUGCAUGUAUUUUGCUGAGCGGAUCGAACGGAUUAGCUUCAUGUACCUGUGUCUCGCUAUGAAAUCGAUCCAGCCGCAUGUGCUUCUAUAUGUCCACGAAUUCGGCCAUAUACUUUCAUCGCCUUGUAAUACCAAUCGGCAAUCGGCAUGGACGCGUGUUUCGCUGGAAAACACCUGUCUGCAUCAUGAGACGAUGGACUCCAUGGGAGAGGAG
rnacentral:lncRNA from 1 species